rnacentral:lncRNA from 1 species
AUGCUGGUGGAAUUCUCACCCCAAACCUCCAGCUACUGGAUCUGGGGAGGGGACAGAGAAUCCCUGCUUGAUUUCCGAGCAGACGUUUGCAACCCUGGGGCGCCAGCAAAAGCAGAGGUGAAUUCUCCGCGCUCUCCCGGGAAAUCCGCAUCCACUCCCGGACGCGCAACCGAGCCGGCUCCGGGCGCGGAUUCCCGCGCCGGCUGGGGCUCCCGGGUCGCUGGCGUCCCGGCCGGGAGGCGGUGCGAGCUCCCGGGGAGGGCCCCCUCCGCCUCCAGGGCGGCGCAAGCGGGGCCUAAGGUGGGUCACCUGCCAGGGAGGAAACGGGGGGUGCCGACGCACGUGGGAGGGGCGCCGACCCCGGGGCGGUGCAGAGCUGGAGGGUGCGGAAAAAGGCGGGAGGGAGGCUGGAGUUCGGACCUAGCCUUUCCCAGCGGGGGAGAGGGCGUGGAUGGGACGUCCCAGGUUUGCGGCGCAGGCAGCGUCACCCAAUCCACAGCCAACCCCACCCUCUGGGCCGCGCGGGUCCCCUCCCUCUGGACUGAAACCCGAGGAGCCGCCACGCCGCGGGGCCUGAUGCACUUGUCCGCUGCCGGUCGGCGGGAGGCGAGAACCCGGCGAGGCCGCUCGGAGCGGGCCCGACUCGGGGCAGCACCGGAGCGGGCCGGGCAGCAGUGGGCGCUCGCGAUCCUCCUCUGCCCAACGCGCUCUCCCUCAGGGCCGGGCCUCCUCCGUCCCCUCCUCCUGCUCCUGCUCCUCCUCCCGCUCCUCCCCUCCGCGGGACUGAUCGCCGAGCCUCCCGCCUGCAAAGUCCCCGGCGCGCCGGCAGCUACCAGCCGCCGUCUCUGCUGGAUCUCCGUGGGUGCCUGCGCCCCAGCCUCGUCCGCCUGCCCCGAGGCGUCCCCCUCCCUCCCGGCUCGCUCCGCCGGCCGCCGGUGCUCCGCGGCGCUGCCCAUGGCCCAGCCCGAGAGCCGACUUCGGGCGCCGGACCGGCUGGACCGCGGCGCAGCUCAGGCACAUAGAUACUGACACCAGAGAGGACAGGAAGGCCAACUUUGAAGAUCACCAAGAGACAAAGAACUUGAGUGACUGGAUGCAUCUCCUACAUCACCCUCAGGAUGCCCUGCGGUCUGUGCUUUGUCCCUGCGGUCAGCUCUGGAAAGUGAGGCCCAGAGACGGCAAGUAGCUUCCUCGAGGACACACAGCCAGAUGCGGACAGGGUCGGAACUCAGAAUGGCACAAACUUACUGCUGAGUGACCGGAGGGCAUCGCGAAGGAUUGGCAAAGACCUCAGUCACACACCGCGUGUCUGUGUGCGACACUCCAGGGAAAGCAGACAGAUGCUGGCAUCUCUAGACAGCUAGGGCUUGAACACCUGAAGAGAUAAAUCACUUUGGGGGGUGGGAAGGAAAGAGGAAGAGGAGGAAGAAGAAGAAAGCUGGGCGGGGCGGGGCGAGGGGGCAAGGGGAGGAGGAAGGGGAGGAAGGACGGGCGAAGAAGAGGAGGGAAGGAGGAAGAAAAAAGAAAAUAACAAAGUAAGACAUUGAACCCACUUUGUGUUCACGUCAGUAUUUCAUCCUCAGCCGGCAACUAUACACUUGGACUUGUUUACUCUCUUGGAGGGGUUUCUUAAUAGUUUCCUGUGCAGGAUUCCUCUGCACUCCUCGGUGGGGAGCCAAGACUCCUCCCAGCCAGGAGUCUCCCUCCCGUUCCUGCGGUCCCCUUGAACCCUUUCCAGGGCCCUGCUUCCCUGGCUGGUGGCCAGGGGCUCAGACAAGCACUUCUCUCUCAGCGCAGAAACCAAGUACCUCUGUACAGACGGGAGGCUGGAAUCUUUGGUUCCAGCCCGGAAGCGAUACUCACCCGAGCUGGUGUUUCUCUAGACAACAGCAGGGCACCAAGUCUUGGCCCAGCUCUUCACCAGCUCUGUGAUUUGAGACCAAUACCUUCGCCUCUGCAAGGCUCAGAUUUCCUUCCCCGGUAAAGGUCACAGAACUAGACCUCUUUUAAGGGCCUGGCAAGUUCCAGAAUGUUGUGACUUCUCCUAGGUGAGAAAAAGAGGGGAGCUUUGUCUGUUCUUCUUCCUAUCUGCCCUUCUCUCCCUCCCUUCCUUCCUCCGUGCUCCUCUCUUUUUCCCUUUUGUCUUUCUUUCUUCUUUUUCUGUUUGUCACGUGCCAAGAUUUUAACUCGCAGGCUGCUCCGGCUGAAAUUAGUACCUUAGAUUUUUUUUUUUUUACAUCAUCCUGGAUAGGAGCCAGAAAAAUGAUCUCCGAAGAGCUGUGACCAUUUUGGGAUGCUCUUCAAUGAGGAGACUGGAGGAUCUCUUCGCAGCCAUGGCUCCCUCUGUCCUGAGACACAUCUACUUGCAAAUCUUGUUCUAGAAAAGUCACCCCUGCCCUGCAGAGGGUUUCAGUGGAGGCGGUUAGCAAUGGUUUGGGAGGGCAAGCCAUUUUUAUUUCAUACGGGACAUCAGUCAGUCAUUGCAGUGGGAGAGGCUAAGUCAGCGCUGCCCUGGUACCCAUUGGGGCCUGUCAGGGACCGGCAGAGGGCAAUGGAUGUAGGAUGUGCUCUAAACUGUACCUUACCGCUGGGGAAAUGGAGAUGGUCCUUGAAAGUCCUUUCUCAGACUUGCGUGCAGGAGAGGAGGCAUGGAGAGUAGCAGAAGGAUCUGGUGUCAUGAGAUCUUUUGGUGGGGCUGUGGGCGGAACAGGGCUUCUUUGCGGUCCAACGAAAUGGUAGCUCCGUGUACACAUCCCAGCCCCUUUCCUCCCCAGCCGCACGGGCAGCAGGGACAAGUUACAAGGGGACAACUGUGCCAAAGUCCUGGAUGCUCUGCAGAUUUGUGGGAGCUAGAAACAAAGGUUGGAUACCAAGCCUUUGAGAUUCAGCGACAUUGCCAUUGUAGAUGCCUUGGGUUGUAUGAUACAACCUGAGCUUCAGCAGGCAACUCACUGGGCAGUGAUGACAGCUGUUCACUGUGAGCAUGUGACAUGCUCCUGUUGGGGAUGGAGGAAAGAACUGGAAGACAUGGAUGAGAAGAACCGGGACUCUGCCAUCAAGCCAGGGGCGUCAAUGGCACUAUCGUUUUGAACUAAACGUAUAUGUGGCCUUGCUUGGACGCAGAGCGGACAUCUUCGGUGUAUUCUGUCUCCGUGAACCUUGACAUUGAUUGCCUCCUUGGAGGAGAGGAAAUUGAAGCUGGGGUUUGAGCCCAGGAAGGUCUCUCUCUCCGGAAGAUUCUCCCCAUCACAGGACACUGAAUCUGUCCUCCGUUUCUCUCUGCUCUGCUCCCUUUGCCUGCACGUGCGUCAUUUUAAUACAGUAAAACCUUGGGGCGCCUGGGUGGCGCAGUCGGUUAAGCGUCCGACUUCAGCCAGGUCACGAUCUCGCCGUCCAUGAGUUCGAACCCCGCGUCAGGCUCUGGGCUGAUGGCUCAGAGCCUGGAGCCUGUUUCCGAUUCUGUGUCUCCCUCUCUCUCUGCCCCUCCCCCGUUCAUGCUCUGUCUCUCUCUGUCCCAAAAAUAAAUAAACGUUGAAAAAAAAAACA